rnacentral:rRNA from 1 species
GACGAACCGAGCGAACGUUGUUCGGAAUCACUGGGCUUAAAGGGUGCGUAGGCGGGCUGCCAAGUUUGAGGUGAAAUCCUCCGGCUCAACCGGGGAAGUGCCUUGAAUACUGGCGGUCUGGAGGGAGGUAGGGGCGUGCGGAACUAACGGUGGAGCGGUGAAAUGCGUUGAUAUCGUUAGGAACUCCGGUGGCGAAGGCGGCACGCUAGACCUCUUCUGACGCUGAGGCACGAAAGCCAAGGGAGCGAACGGG